UUCCUACUCCCUCCGUCCGGAAAAGCUUGUCUCAACCUUGUUCUUCAAAUGAAUGUAUCUAGCACUAACUUGAAGCUAGAUACAUCCAUUUGAGCGACAAGCUUUUUCAGACGGAGGUAGUACAUG
rfam:Triticum urartu cultivar G1812 contig526021, whole genome shotgun sequence.